UCGCCGCACGCGCCGGGGCAGAGGGGAGACCCUGACAGUCACAUGCGGAGACAAAGACACCUGGACAGACGCCGGCACAGACAGACAAAGACAGACUGACGCGCUGGCACGCCGCGGGGAGCGCAGUUUCCCCGGAGCCCGGCUCCCUCCUUGCGGACUGAGCGAGACCCCGUCCACCUCACCUUAUCUGUCCCUGCGCCUGGGGCUGACUUCAGGGGAUUGGAACAAAAACUGACCUUUUUCAGUCCUGUGGCCACUGCUGAGUUUUCCAAAUUUGCUACCAUAUUGGGUGCAGCACUUUCACAGCAUCAUCUUUUGGGAUUUGAAAGAACUCAACUGGAAAAAAAAAAAAAGAAAUAACUCAACUGGAAUUCCAUCACCUCCGCUGGCUUUGUUCAUAGUGAUGCUUCCUAAGGCCCACUUGACUUUGCACUCCAGGAAGUCUGGCUCUAGACUCAGCCAGAGGAUGCUUGUGUCAAAUGAGGAUUCCUUCAGCGGCUGCACCCUGGACUCUCCCUGAUGGUGGAAUUCCUUCAGAGCCUCAGGAGUUUUAUUAAUCCAAUGCCAAGCCACAACGAUCUCACUUUUAAAAAAGCUUGUUUGCUUAAUAAAGCACAUAGGUUAUCACAGUGGGCGCUCCCUGUAUCCCCACACCACUGACAAAGGUUGUCUCCUGUUUUGUUGUUUUUUUAAUUGUUUACUCAUUUGGCUGCCUCAGGUCUUAGCUGUGGCAUGUGGGACCUUUGUUGUGUCAUCACUGACUCGUCUCAGCAGUUACUGACUGCAUGCAGGCUUAGAUGCUACGAGGCAUGUGGGACAUUUGUUCCCUAACCAGGGAUCAAACCGGUGUUCCCUGCAUCACAAGACAGAUUCUUAACCAUUGGACCACCAGGGAAAUCCUCAAAGAUUCACUUCUUGACCAGACUUUAUUCAGUCUCCUCUGAGCUCUUUCUCAACUAGUCCUGGUCCUUGGUCAUGUUCUCAAGAGCCCAAUUUUAGCAUGAAUGUUGCUGAGUCAGUUUAGCCGGAAUCCCCCAUCCUUAAUAUAUGAUCACCCUAGCCAGCCUUCCGGAGAAGGCAAUGGCACCCCACUCCAGUACUCCUGCCUGGGAAAUCCCAUGGACGAAGGCACCUGGUAGGCUGCAGUCCAUGGGGUUGCUAAGAGUCGGACACAAUUGAGCAACUGCACUUUCACUUUUCACUUUCAUGCAUUGGAGAAGGAAAUGGCAACCCACUCCAGUGUUCUUGCCUGGAGAAUCCCAGGGACGGGGGACCCUGGUGGGCUGCCGGCUCUGGGGUUGCACAGAGUCGGACACGACUGAAGUGAUUUAGCAGCAGCAGCAGCAGCAGACAGCCUUCAGCAAGAAUCCUCUUAGGAUGAUUUAACGAAAAUCUCCCCUUCCUCCUGA